AUUGAACGCUGGCGGCAUGCUUUACACAUGCAAGUCGAACGGUAACAGGCCGCAAGGUGCGGACGAGUGGCGAACGGGCGAGUAAUGCAUCGGAACGUGCCCAGUCGUGGGGGAUAACUACUCGAAAGAGAAGCUAAUACCGCAUACGAUCUAUGGAUGAAAGCGGGGGACGGUAAGGCCUCGCGCGAUUGGAGCGGCCGAUGUCAGAUUAGGUAGUUGGUGGGGGAAAGGCACACCAAGCCAACGAUCUGGACCUGGUCUGAGAGGACGACCGGCCACACUGGGACUGAGACACGGCCCAGACUCCUACGGGAGGCAGCAGUGGGGAAUUUUGGACAAUGGGCGCAAGCCUGAUCCAGCAAUGCCGCGUGCAGGAAGAAGGCCUUCGGGUUGUAAACUGCUUUUGUACGGAACGAAACGGCUCUGGUUAAUACCCGGGGCUAAUGACGGUACCGUAAGAAUAAGCACCGGCUAACUACGUG
rnacentral:rRNA from 1 species